GGUUACUGCUAUCGGUGUUCGCCUAAGCCAUGCGAGUCAUAUGUUCGUAAGAACAUGGCGUACUGCUCAGUAACACGUGGAUAACCUGCCCUUGGGUCCGGCAUAACCCCGGGAAACUGGGGAUAAUUCCGGAUAACGCACAUAUGCUGGAAUGCUUUAUGCGUAAAAUGGAUUCGUCUGCCCAAGGAUGGGUCUGCGGCCUAUCAGGUAGUAGUGGGUGUAAUGUACCUACUAGCCUACGACGGGUACGGGUUGUGAGAGCAAGAGCUCGGAGAUGGAUUCUGAGACAUGAAUCCAGGCCCUACGGGGCGCAGCAGGCGCGAAAACUUUACAAUGCGGGAAACCGUGAUAAGGGGACACCGAGUGCCAGCAUCCUAUGCUGGCUGUCCGGGUGUGUAAAAUACACCUGUUAGCAAGGGCCGGGCAAGACCGGUGCCAGCCGCCGCGGUAACACCGGCGGCCCGAGUGGUGAUCGUGAUUAUUGGGUCUAAAGGGUCCGUAGCCGGUUUGGUCAGUCCUCCGGGAAAUCUGACAGCUUAACUGUUAGGCUUUCGGAGGAUACUGCCAGACUUGGAACCGGGAGAGGUAAGAGGUACUACAGGGGUAGGAGUGAAAUCUUGUAAUCCCUGUGGGACCACCUGUGGCGAAGGCGUCCUACCAGAACGGGUUCGACGGUGAGGGACGAAAGCUGGGGGCACGAACCGGAUUAGAUACCCGGGUAGUCCCAGCCGUAAACGAUGCUCGCUAGGUGUCAGGCAUGGCGCGACCGUGUCUGGUGCCGCAGGGAAGCCGUGAAGCGAGCCACCUGGGAAGUACGGCCGCAAGGCUGAAACUUAA
rnacentral:rRNA from 1 species